rnacentral:tRNA from 1 species
CAGAGAAUAGUUUAGUUUAGAAUACCAGCUUUGGGAGUUGGAGGUAUAGGUUCGAGUCCUUUUUCUCUGA